GCAAAAUUAACUCCAUAAGUACCCUCCAUGGCUCCAUCUCUCUUUAUCCCCAUAGUUAACAAAUCUCAGAAAUCCUCUCAUUAUAGUUAAUUCACUUCAUACCCUCUCACCAUCUCCUUUCCAGUUGAACAGAAAAGGAUGGAAUUGGUCAAUUUGAGCAAAUUCAGCAACACUCAUUCUCUGCAAAACUAGUCCAAUCAAGAAAACGGAGGAAAGAAUGGUCAUUGAAGUUAAAGCAGAGGAAGAAACAGAGGACAAGUCUUUAAUUAUGGAAAAAGAAGGAAAAAGUUUUCCUUUGAUCACACAAGACAGAGAAUGUGAGAUAAUUUCCAUUGAUGAAGAGGAAAAUCAAGAAGGAGAAGAAGAAGUUGAAUUGCUAAGUGCAGAAGAAUUGAACAAGAAAUGUGAUGAUUUUAUAAGGAAGAUGAAAGAAGAAAUUAAAUCCGAAGCUCAAGAACUUAUUAUGUUGGUUCAGUAUUAAAAUUAGUAGCUAGAAACUGGAGUUCAGGAGGAAGAAGAAGAAGACUUAAUAAUUAAGAUCCUAAUAACUUUGUAGUCUACAUAAUUUUGAUUUUUGUGUACAAAUUAUCUUGUAAUGCAAAUUAAUUAAUUUCUAUAGAAUUUUGUUGCAAUAUUGUUAAGUG